GACGAACGCUGGCGGCGUGCUUAACACAUGCAAGUCGAACGGAAAGGCCCUGCUUUUGCGGGGUGCUCGAGUGGCGAACGGGUGAGUAACACGUGAGUAACCUGCCCUUGACUUUGGGAUAACUUCAGGAAACUGGGGCUAAUACCGGAUAGGAGCUCCUGCUGCAUGGUGGGGGUUGGAAAGUUUCGGCGGUUGGGGAUGGACUCGCGGCUUAUCAGCUUGUUGGUGGGGUAGUGGCUUACCAAGGCUUUGACGGGUAGCCGGCCUGAGAGGGUGACCGGCCACAUUGGGACUGAGAUACGGCCCAGACUCCUACGGGAGGCAGCAGUGGGGAAUAUUGCACAAUGGGCGGAAGCCUGAGGCAGCAACGCCGCGUGCGGGAUGACGGCCUUCGGGUUGUGAACCGCUUUCGCCUGUGACGAAGCGUGAGUGACGGUAAUGGGUAAAGAAGCACCGGCUAACUACGUG
rnacentral:rRNA from 1 species